GUACGGGGGGGCAAGCGUUGUUCGGAAUUACUGGGCGUAAAGGGCUCGUAGGCGGCCAACUAAGUCAGACGUGAAAUCCCUCGGCUUAACCGGGGAACUGCAUCUGAUACUGGAUGGCUUGAGUUCGGGAGAGGGAUGCGGAAUUCCAGGUGUAGCGGUGAAAUGCGUAGAUAUCUGGAGGAACACCGGUGGCGAAGGCGGCAUCCUGGACCGACACUGACGCUGAGGAGCGAAAGCCAGGGGAGCAAACGGGG
rnacentral:rRNA from 1 species